rnacentral:misc_RNA from 1 species
GAUGAAGAACGUAGUGAAAUGCGAUAAUUAAUGUGAUUUGCAGAAUUCAGUGAAUCAUCGAGUCUUUGAACGCACAUUGCGCCCCCUGGUAUUCCGGGGGGCAUGCCUGUCCGAGCGUCAUUGCUGCCCUCAAGCACGGCUUGUGUGUUGGGCUUCCGUCCCUGGCAACGGGGACGGGCCCAAAAGGCAGUGGCUGCACCAUGUCUGGUCCUCGAGCGUAUGGGGCUUUGUCACCCGCUCCCGUAGGUCCAGCUGGCAGCUAGCCUCGCAACCAAUCUUUUUAACCAGGUUGACCUCGGAUCAGGUAGGGAUACCCGCUGAACUUAAGCAUAUCAAUAAGCGGAGGA